rnacentral:rRNA from 1 species
AGUGAACGCUGGCGGUAUGCCUAACACAUGCAAGUCGAACGAGUGGCGGACGGGUGAGGUAUACAACGGAAUCUACUCUGUCGUGGGGUAUAACGUAGGGAAACUUGCGAUAAUACCGCAUACGAUUGAAUGAGCCGAUGUGGGAUUAGCUAGUGGGUGGGUUAAAGGCACAUCAAGGCGACGAUCCGUCGCUGGUCUGAGAGGAUGAUCAGCCACACUGGAACUGAGACACGGUCCAGACUCCUACGGGAGGCAGCAGUGGGGAAUAUUGGGCAAUGGGCGCAAGCCUGAUCCAGCCAUGCCGCGUGUGUGAAGAAGGUCUUCGGAUUUUAAAGCACUUUAAGUUGGGAGGCGUUACCAACAGAAUAAGCACCGGCUAACUUCGUGCCAGCAGCCGCGGUAAUAC